rnacentral:rRNA from 1 species
CUACGGAACUCCUACGGGAGGCAGCAGUGGGGAAUAUUGCACAAUGGGCGAAAGCCUGAUGCAGCGACGCCGCGUGAGGGAUGACGGCCUUCGGGUUGUAAACCUCUUUCAGUAGGGAAGAAGCCUUCGGGUGACGGUACCUGCAGAAGAAGCGCCGGCUAACUACGUGCCAGCAGCCGCGGUAAUACGUAGGGCGCAAGCGUUGUCCGGAAUUAUUGGGCGUAAAGAGCUCGUAGGCGGUUUGUCGCGUCUGCUGUGAAAACGCAAGGCUUAACCUUGCGCCUGCAGUGGGUACGGGCAGACUAGAGUGCGGUAGGGGAGACUGGAAUUCCUGGUGUAGCGGUGGAAUGCGCAGAUAUCAGGAGGAACACCGAUGGCGAAGGCAGGUCUCUGGGCCGUUACUGACGCUGAGGAGCGAAAGCAUGGGGAGCGAACAGGAUUAGAUACCCCUGUAGUCCUCUUCGA